UAAAGACCCAAAUUUCGUCGCAAUUUUCACGGAAACACUUGCAUAAUCCCAUGGCCGAAGAACUACCCUGCAAGUCAACGGAAGGAGAAAUCUGCGUUUUGCCUGCUUGAGAGACACAACAACUGCAAGAUUCAAGAGCUCUUCCAUUGUAGAGGAUGCAAUUGUCUGUCUCUGGUUAGGGUUUAUUAUUUUUGAGAGAUGAAAGCUUCGAUGGCGUUGUAUUGCUUUCUAUGAUCAUCGCAUAUCAUAUUAAAGAAAAGAAAAAGGGGUUCUUUGUGCUUGUUUGUUCCAUUUCUUUGUUUGAUGUGUUGUGGAAUCGUUGUAGCGGCGGGCUUGGCUCGAACUGAAUGAAUUAUUUUCCGAUAUAUUUGAACCAUCGGAACUCAG